UUGCGUGUUGCUGUGGUAUUCUUGACUGCUUUCAUUGUUGUGGUGUUGCUGUGGUGUUGUAUGUUGCUGUGGUAUUCUUGACUGCUUUUACUGUUGUGGUGUUGCUGUGGUGUUGCGUGUUGCUGUGGUAUUCUUGACUGCUUUCAUUGUUGUGGUGUUGCUGUGGUGCUGUUGUGGUAUUGUUGACUCCUUCAGUGCUGUGGUGUUGGUGUGUGUUGCUGUGAUAUUGUUCACUUUUUCAUGACUGUGGUGCUGCUGUGUAUUGUUAUGGCACUGUUCACUCUUUCCUUGCUGUGGUUGUCCUUUACUGGCAUUCAGACCACCGUAAAAACAUUAAUAUCAAUAAAUGAAUAAGUGAAAUGAAAUAAAACAAAUUGCUUGCAUGCAGGAAAAAAAAAUGCAUAUCAAUUUCACCUUUUAAAGACAACAGAAGUAUGACACAAAGACAAAUGAGUAAAGACACUGUGGGUAAUUUGUCCUUGCCUGGCAGUGGAGACGCUAAAUGUUCUGAUCUCUCAUUAGGAUCGCCUUCAAAAUCCACUGACGUAAUUUGACAGAUUCUUAUGUAUGUAUCAGUUCCAUUAGUGGUGAAGAAAUUGUGUUAAUCUCUCUAACCUUGAAGAAAUUUUUGUUAACCUCUCUAACCUAUCAUCCAAUUCAAUUUCAUUUAUUUAUUUAUUUAUUUAUUUUUUUUUUUUUUGUCGGAAGUCGUAUAUGAUCGUCUGAGUGUAAAUAUAGGUAAAUGAUACAGAUUAAGUAUAAUUUAUAUAAGUUUAAACUCGUUCCCUUGAACCCACAAAGGCCAGUUGUAGUGAUUUAGGGAUUCAACAAGAUCGUGCGACAGAGAAGCACGACAGAAUCAUCACUGCAACCUCCACCAAGAUCAAGAACGUGUUUCAUUACAACCAGAAUCUUGAAAACACUGGAAAAUUCAAAAUAACUUCAAACAGACUCUUUAACUGUCACCAGAACGUUGUAUAGAUUUGGACAAGUAAGUGGGAUUGUGAUGGUGAUGAAACACAAAAUACAGCAGAACUUUAUCGAUCUAACGUUUCGACAACUGUCUUCCUCAGAGAGCACAGACAAAGGGAAGGCGUGACAGCUCCUUCCUGCAGAUCACAGUGUGGGUCUGUCUGGGGAAGUCGUCCGCUUAACUUUGAAAACAAUCUCGAAAAACGCCGAUAAGUUCAAUAAGAGACCAUUUAUCACCAAAAUCAUGAAAAUGCUCUUGAAAAUCUUAAUAAUUUCAACAAGAGCCUCUUUGAUUACCAGCACAAUCACGAAAACACUCUUGAAAACGCCAAUAAAUUCAACAAGAGGCCGUUUAUCAUCAAAAUCAUGAAAAUAUUCUUGAAGAUCUUAACAACUUCAACAAGAGCCUCUUUCAUUACGACCAGAAUCACAAAAACACUCUAGUAAACUUAAAGUGGAGCCUGCGAAACAUCAGUAACUUCCCACAGCCUUAUUAAAAAAUUGAGAUAUGAAAACGGGUGAAGUCUGAGAAUAGAGAGAAUAGAAGGAAUGGAAAGAUGGAUUUUGAGUAUCUUAUAUUGCCAAACAAAAGGAAAUAUCGUGGUUGGAUGGUAAGGCUGACCAUACAUUCCAAAACCAACUUAUAAGAAUAGCGGUUUUCUGUGUGUGUACUCUUCCAGUGCCUUUGAGAAAACCUCUACGAAACGAAAGAAAAUGUAGAUGGCGACUCUCACUAUACAUUCCAAAACCUAAAGAUAAGAAUAAAAUAGUGUCUUUUUUUUUCAAUACCUUUCAGAAAACUUCCCCUUUUUUCUCGGUUUUUGCAUCCGAUUUCUGUAGUCUAUCAGGGCCAGGACGGUGCCUCCCAACGAAAGACUUAAGUUGUGGCAUUUGGCAAGCAUCAACCCGAGUGGAUGCCCUUCCUAACCUCGGACCGUGGCCAGGAUUCGAACCCCUGCGCCUGAGGAUCUCUCGGCCCCAAAAUCGAGCUCGGUUCCACUGUACCACGGGAUUGGAUAACUUACAUUACCAAACGAAAAGAAAAAAAAAAAUGAAUGGCAACGAUCACUACACGUAUAUUUCAAAA